GGUGGCUCAGUGGUAGAGCGCUUGCCUUAUAUGCAUGAGGCCCUGGGUUUGAUUCCCCAGCACCA
rnacentral:tRNA from 1 species